rnacentral:rRNA from 1 species
CCCUAGGGGAGGCAGCAGUGGGGAAUCUUAGACAAUGGGGCCAAGCGUGAUGUAGCCAUGCCGGGUAAGUGAAGAAGGCCUUAGGGUAGUAAUGUUUCGCCCAGAGAUAAUGACGGUACACAGAGAGCCGUUCC